AGAUAUCUGGAAUGGUUUUUGAUCAAAAUCUAUAUGGCCUUUGGAUUGGACUGCGUCCGAUCAGGCUGUUGGUGAGGUAAUGGCCCACCAAACCUGUAACCGGUACGGGCUCUGAGAGGAGGAGCCCGGAGAUGGGUACUGAGAAAAGGACCCAGGCCCUAUGGGGCGCAGCAGGCGCGAAACCUCUGCAAUAGGCGAAAGCCUGACAGGGUUACUCUGAGUGACUUUCGCUAAGAAAGUCUUUUGACACCUCUAAAAAUGGUGUAGAAUAAGGGGUGGGCAAGUCUGGUGUCAGCCGCCGCGGUAAUACCAGCACCCCGAGUGGUCGGGACGAUUAUUGGGCCUAAAGCAUCCGUAGCCGGUUUUACAAGUCCUCCGUUAAAUCCAGCUGCUUAACAGAUGGGCUGCGGAGGAUACUAUAAGACUAGGAGGCAGGAGAGGCAAGCGGUACUCAGUGGGUAGGGGUAAAAUCCGUUGAUCCAUUGAAGACCACCAGUGGCGAAGGCGGCUUGCCAGAAUGCGCUCGACGGUGAGGGAUGAAAGCUGGGGGAGCAAACCGGAUUAGAUACCCAGGUAGUCCCAGCUGUAAACGAUGCAGACUCGGUGAUGGACUAGCUUUAUGCUAGUCCAGUGCCGCAGGGAAGCCGUUAAGUCUGCCGCCUGGGUAGUACGGUCGCAAGACUGAAACUUAAAGGAA
rnacentral:rRNA from 1 species